rnacentral:rRNA from 1 species
AGCAGCCGCGGUAAUUCCAGCUCCAAUAGCGUAUAUUAAAGUUGUUGCAGUUAAAAAGCUCGUAGUUGAAUUUCGGGGUUAGUAGGUUGGUCAUGCCUCUGGUAUGUACUGGUCUCACUGAUUCCUCCUUCCUGAUGAACCGUAAUGCCAUUAAUUUGGUGUUGCGGGGAAUUUGGACUGUUACUUUGAAAAAAUUAGAGUGUUUAAAGCAAGCUAACGCUUGAAUACAUUAGCAUGGAAUAAUGAAAUAGGACGUUCGAUCUUAUUUUGUUGGUUUCUAGGAUUGACGUAAUGAUUAAUAGGGAUAGUUGGGGGCAUUAGUAUUCAAUUGUCAGAGGUGAAAUUCUUGGAUUUAUUGAAGACUAACUACUGCGAAAGCAUUUGCCAAGGAUGUUUUCAUUAAUCAAGAACGAAAGUUAGGGGAUCGAAGACGAUCAGAUACCGUCGUAGUCUUAACCAUAAACUAUGCCGACUAGGGAUCGGAUGAUGUUAAUUUUUUAAUGACUCA